rnacentral:rRNA from 1 species
UACGUAGGGCGCGAGCGUUGUCCGGAAUUAUUGGGCGUAAAGAGCUCGUAGGCGGCCUGUCGCGUCCGCUGUGAAAUCCCGGGGCUUAACCCCGGGCCUGCAGUGGAUACGGGCAGGCUGGAGGCAGGCAGGGGAGACUGGAAUUCCUGGUGUAGCGGUGGAAUGCGCAGAUAUCAGGAGGAACACCGGUGGCGAAGGCGGUUCUCUGGGCCUUACCUGACACUGAGGAGCGAAAGCGUGGGGAGCGAACAGG